AUACAUUCCUUUAAUCAUUCCACACAGGGAAAAUGUACAUUGUUACAGCAAGAUAGAGAGGACAAUAUUAGAUAAAAGGCAUGCACAUAGUAUUUAAAACAAGAAUAAUACAAAUAAUUUCAAUUUACAGAAGAACACAUCGCUGUUAGUAGCAGCAGUAUUUAUAAAAUAUAAGAGUAAAAAUCAGUUUAACAUUGCAGAAUGAAAUGUGGUAUAAAACAAUGAACCAAUUGUUUUACUAUUUAAAUGUGAAGCUUUUGAAAAAACAAAACUCUGGCCCAGCAUCUUCUUGUUUCCCAGUAAUCGGUGUAUCUCAGGGGAGGUGAAUGCAACAGUCUCAGGCAUCGCCACCACAUUUCGCAAAAAUCUGUCAGACCACAAAGGUCAUAUCCUUCAGAGCUGCUCCGACUGCCUGCUGUGGACGGACACCUUUCAAAAUGGAGACGUCACCGGUAGAUACAUCCUGCAGUUCAGUAUGUUCCUCAUCAGAUUUUACAAUUCAUCUCUGAGUUUCAACCCUUUUUCCAGCAAGGAAUGGAAAAAUUGAUCCUGAAGAUGUUGACAUUUUCAAGUUGGGUGUCUGAGCUUCCCAGAGAACUUCCACAGCUACGACGGCAAAACAGAGCUGUGCCCCGACAACAAAGAGGGCACAGAGUGAGCAGCAGCAGCAACAUUAGUUUUAAGCAAAAAUAUAUGUAAAAUGUACUAGUUUUGUUUUGAUCAUCAUCAUAAUAUGCUAUGAAAACUGGUAAGUCGUGUGAUUUUAGAUUUUACAUAUCUACUUUUAAACCUAUAAAAAAAGAUGAUGUACUGAAAUGCGUUUUGAAAACUGUGGUGUCAAAACAGCCUGUUUUUACAACAAUGCCUUUAGGACAUGACAUGUCAUUCAUUUCAGAAUAAAACUUCAUUAUUAUCCG